GUUAUAUAUCGGGCCCCAUAUAUGUUAUAUAGAAUCAUUUUUUGCAAUUUUCUGUCAUACAUGUACAUCAUGUGUAAAUUCCUGAUUUGGGUACUGAUAUGGUUAUUUGAAUAUUUUUGUUCAUAUUUCUGCUUAUGAGUUUUUGUUCAGGUCUAUUUAUUGUUAUACCAUGUAUAUGUUUUGGGUAGUGAUGACUAAUGGAU